AGAAUCAACGCUGGCGGCGUGCCUAACACAUGCAAGUCGAACGAGAAAGUGGAGCAAUCCAUGAGUAAAGUGGCGCACGGGUGAGUAACACGUGACUAACCUACCCUUGAGUGGGGGAUAACCUAGGGAAACCUGGGCUAAUACCGCAUAAUACCUUCGGGUCAAAGGAGCAAUUCGCUUAAGGAGGGGGUCGCGGCCGAUUAGUUAGUUGGCGGGGUAAUGGCCCACCAAGACUGUGAUCGGUAUCCGGCCUGAGAGGGCGCACGGACACACUGGAACUGAAACACGGUCCAGACUCCUACGGGAGGCAGCAGUGGGGAAUUUUGCGCAAUGGGGGAAACCCUGACGCAGCAACGCCGCGUGGAGGAUGAAGCCCCUUGGGGCGUAAACUCCUUUCGAUCGGGACGAUUAUGACGGUACCGGAAGAAGAAGCCCCGGCUAACUUCGUGCCAGCAGCCGC
rnacentral:rRNA from 1 species